AUACGGAGGGGGUUAGCGUUGUUCGGAAUUACAGGGCGUAAAGCGCACGUAGGCGGAUUGGAAAGUUGGGGGUGAAAUCCCAGGGCUCAACCCUGGAACUGCCUCCAAAACUAAAAGUCUAGAGUUCGAGAGAGGUGAGUGGAAUUCCAAGUGUAGAGGUGAAAUUCGUAGAUAUUUGGAGGAACACCAGUGGCGAAGGCGGCUCACUGGCUCGAUACUGACGCUGAGGUGCGAAAGCGUGGGGAGCAAACAGGAUUAGAAACCCUUGUAGUCC
rnacentral:rRNA from 1 species